rnacentral:rRNA from 1 species
UACGUAGGGGGCAAGCGUUGUCCGGAUUUAUUGGGCGUAAAGAGCUCGUAGGCGGCUUGUUGCGUCGACUGUGAAAACCCGCGGCUUAACCGCGGGCUUGCAGUUGAUACGGGCAGGCUAGAGUUCGGUAGGGGAGACUGGAAUUCCUGGUGUAGCGGUGAAAUGCGCAGAUAUCAGGAGGAACACCGGUGGCGAAGGCGGGUCUCUGGGCCGAUACUGACGCUGAGGAGCGAAAGCGUGGGGAGCGAACAGG